AUGGCUACGAAGAAACAUUUCUUUUGCUAUGGAUCCUUCUCGAUUAAGGGUGGCUCGGAAAUUAUAUUCUGGAAGGACAAGUGGCUAGGAAAUGCCAUACUCCGGGAACAAUAUCCGGCUCUAUACAACAUUGUGCGCCACAAAGGUGAUACUAUCGCCACGGUAAUGGAAUCAUUUCCGCCAAAUGUGAUGUUCAGAAGAGACUUAAUUGAACCCAGACUCCAAUCGUGGAAUAUUCUGCUCCAACGGUUGUCCACGGUGCAAUUGUCACAUGGGUCUGAUGUAUUCCGAUGGAACCUCCAUGGGAAUGGACAAUUCUCAGUGGAUUCUAUGUAUAGAGCGUUAAUCCAGUCCGAUGUGCCAGUUGUUAAUAAUAAGAAGAUCUGGAAGAUGAAGAUACCUCUUAGAAUAAAAUCUUUGCAUGAUAUCUUCGUCGCGGAGUCAUUCUUACUAAAGAUAACCUUAUUAAGAGGAAUUGGCAUGGAAGCCCGCAAUGUGUAUUUUGUCACCAUGAGGAGACAAUAA
rnacentral:rRNA from 1 species